UACGGAGGGGACUAGCGUUGUUCGGAAUUACUGGGCGUAAAGCGCACGUAGGCGGAUUUGUAAGUCAGGGGUGAAAUCCCGGGGCUCAACCUCGGAACUGCCUUUGAUACUGCAAAUCUCGAGUCCGGAAGAGGUGAGUGGAAUUCCUAGUGUAGAGGUGAAAUUCGUAGAUAUUCGGAAGAACACCAGUGGCGAAGGCGACUCGCUGGACAAGUAUUGACGCUGAGGCGCGACAGCGUGGGGAGCAAACGAGG
rnacentral:rRNA from 1 species